GGGGCGGCACCCAAAGGGCGGGAAGCGGGGCGGUGUGGCCGCGCGGCCGGGCGCUCGGCUCCGUGCGCGUCGUCCGGCUCGGUCUUCGACGCCGUCGCGGUGCCGCAGAGACGCGCCGCCGGUCGGUGGGCGCCCGUCUGGCUGCUGUCCAAGGACCACCAAUUCGUCACAGUUCAUCCAAGUGUGAUGCAAGUAGAGCACACCCAGAGCAGGAAUCCACAGGCAUGAAAAGAGAAACAGGUUUUAUACCUGCAUCUGCAUUCCUUAGGCUCACAGUGAAGCUAGAGCAGAAAGGGCAGACUAAGAUGCAGCUCUGAACCUGAACUGGAAACACUGUGUAUUUGCUUGUGGUAUUUCCAGACCUGCUGAAGACCUAGAAAGCCCAGCCUCUGAAACACAUUCAACUGCAUGCUGAGGCAGUUUGGUGCACUGGGAAAUGAGUUGCUGGAAUAAACAUGGCUAUGUUUUUUUCCAUCAUGCUGCGUUUCAGUUUACUGGGUCACUCAGCCACACACCUUGUUUGUGCAAAGGUACAAAGGUCAACAUGUGUCUUUGGGGGAUGGCUAAGACUACAGGAUCUACUAUUGAACUUUGUCUUGGAUAAGGUCCUCUAAUGUUUAAAUCAAAUCAAUCUCUGGUUGUAUGUAUUACAGGAUCUGUUCUUGAACUUUAUCUUGGAUAGGGCUGUCCAAUACUUAAAUAAAUC